CGAGUUUGAUCCUGGCUCAGAGCGAACGCUGGCGGCGUACUUAACACAUGCAAGUCGAACGAGGAUUAUCGGUGUAGCAAUACAUUGGUGGUCCUAGUGGCGCACGGGUGAGUAACACGUGGGUGACCUGCCCUAGAGCUCGGGAUACCCCCUCGAAAGGGGGGCUAAUACCGGAUACGUUCCCUGGUCGAAAGAUCGGGGAGGAAAGGUGGCGCAAGCUGCCGCUCUUGGAGGGGCUCGCGGCCUAUCAGCUAGUUGGCGGGGUAACGGCCCACCAAGGCUAUGACGGGUAGCUGGUCUGAGAGGACGACCAGCCACACGGGGACUGAGACACGGCCCCGACUCCUACGGGAGGCAGCAGUGGGGAAUUUUCCGCAAUGGGCGAAAGCCUGACGGAGUGACGCCGCGUGUGGGACGAAGGCCUUCGGGUCGUAAACCACUGUCAGUGGGAAAGAUGGGUGUCGGGGUUAAUACCUCCGGCAUCUGACGGUACCUGCAGAGGAAGCCCCGGCCAACUCUGUGCCAGCAGCCGCGGUAAGACAGAGGGGGCAAGCGUUGCUCGGAAUUACUGGGCGUAAAGGGCGCGUAGGCGGGAUGGCAAGUCGGUCGUAAAAUCCCUCGGCUCAACCGAGGAACGUCGAUCGAUACUGCUGUUCUUGAGGAUUGCAGAGGAGACUGGAAUUCCCGGUGUAGCGGUGAAAUGUGUAGAGAUCGGGAGGAACACCGGUGGCGAAGGCGGGUCUCUGGGCAAUUCCUGACGCUGAGGCGCGAAAGCGUGGGGAGCAAACGGGAUUAGAUACCCCGGUAGUCCACGCUGUAAACGAUGACGACUAGGUGUGGGGGGGUUCAGUCCCUUCCGUGCCGCAGCUAACGCAUUAAGUCGUCCGCCUGGGGAGUACGGCCGCAAGGUUGAAACUCAAAGGAAUUGACGGGGGCCCGCACAAGCGGUGGAGCAUGUGGUUCAAUUCGAUGCAGAGCGAAGAACCUUACCUGGGCUUGACAUGCAGGAAGUAGGAACCGGAAACGGGGACGACCUGUUAAGUAUGCCGUUCGUUU
rnacentral:rRNA from 1 species